UGGGGAAUAUUGCACAAUGGGCGGAAGCCUGAUGCAGCGACGCCGCGUGGGGGAUGAAGGCCUUCGGGUUGUAAACUCCUUUCGACAGGGACGAAGCUUUUGUGACGGUACCUGUAUAAGAAGCACCGGCUAACUACGUGCCAGCAGCCGCGGUAAUACGUAGGGUGCGAGCGUUGUCCGGAAUUACUGGGCGUAAAGAGCUCGUAGGUGGUUUGUCGCGUCGUCUGUGAAAUUCCGGGGCUUAACUCCGGGCGUGCAGGCGAUACGGGAUGACUUGAGUGCUGUAGGGGAGACUGGAAUUCCUGGUGUAGCGGUGAAAUGCGCAGAUAUCAGGAGGAACACCGAUGGCGAAGGCAGGUCUCUGGGCAGUAACUGACGCUGAGGAGCGAAAGCAUGGGUAGCGAACAGG
rnacentral:rRNA from 1 species